rnacentral:rRNA from 1 species
UGGCCUGUGAGGGUUGCUGGAGGUAUCAGAAGUGCGAAUGCUGACAUAAGUAACGAUAAAGCGGGUGAAAAGCCCGCUCGCCGGAAGACCAAGGGUUCCUGUCCAACGUUAAUCGGGGCAGGGUGAGUCGACCCCUAAGGCGAGGCCGAAAGGCGUAGUCGAUGGGAAACGGGUUAAUAUUCCCGUACUUGGUGUUACUGCGAAGGGGGGACGGAGAAGGCUAUGUUGGCCGGGCGACGGUUGUCCCGGUUUAAGCGUGUAGG